AGAGUUUGAUCAUGGCUCAGAACGAACGCUGGCGGCAGGCCUAACACAUGCAAGUCGAACGGAUGUAGCAAUACAUUAGUGGCGCACGGGUGCGUAACGCGUGGGAACAUGCCCUUGGGUGCGGGAUAGCUACUGGAAACGGUAAUUAAUACCGCAUAAUGACUUCGGUCCAAAGAUUUAUCGCCCAAGGAUUGGCCCGCGUCUGAUUAGCUAGUUGGUGAGGUAACGGCUCACCAAGGCGACGAUCAGUAGCUGGUCUGAGAGGAUGAUCAGCCACACUGGGACUGAGACACGGCCCAGACUCCUACGGGAGGCAGCAGUGAGGAAUAUUGGACAAUGGGGGCAACCCUGAUCCAGCCAUGCCGCGUGAGUGAAGAAGGCCUUCGGGUUGUAAAGCUCUUUCAGGUGCGACGAUAAUGACGGUACCACCAGAAGAAGCCCCGGCUAAAUUCGUGCCAGCAGCCGCGGUAAUACGAAUGGGGCAAGCGUUGUUCGGAAUCACUGGGCUUAAAGCGUGCGUAGGCGGAUUUGUAAGUCAGAAGUGAAAUCCCCGGGCUCAACCCGGGAAUUGCUUUUGAAACUGCAAAUCUAGAAUCCGGGAGAGGUCAGCAGAAUUCCCAGUGUAGAGGUGAAAUUCGCAGAUAUUGGGAGGAAUACCAGUGGCGUAGGCGGCUGACUGGACCGGUUUUGACGCUGAGGUACGGAAGCGUGGGUAGCAAACAGGAUUAGAUACCCUAGUAGUCC
rnacentral:rRNA from 1 species